UGCUUCUCGAUUAGGGUUUUUGCCCUUCCCCUCUUUGCUCUUGCGGGUUUUUGGCUUGUUUCUUUUUUUUGCCCCUUAAAAUUAUGGUACAGAGGAUGAUAUUGGAGCUCAGGAAGAAAGGGGUAAGAUGGAAGCGGAGCUAGAUCUGCAGGAAAUUGUGGGCAUCGCCUGGCUUGGAAAGGAACUUUAUUUUUUUUUUCUUUCUUAUUUUUAUGGGUUUUUUUAAAAAAAUUCUAUUUUCGAUCUUAAAUUUUUAGGUUUGGAGAUAGGAUGGAGAGAAUCCUUACCGAGGCCAGCCAUGCCUAUGAUUUCAUGUGGUUCCUCCAUUUCUUUUCCUUGUCCUUGAAUGGAUCUGGCAUGUUCAGCUGAGGUCAUGGACUGUCUUCUUCUUUUCCUUGUUUUUUCAUUCGUUCUAUUUUGGGUUUAGGGUUUUAGGGGCUUUGGAGUAGGAUCCUUUCCAAUUCCGGGCAUGCCGAUGAUUUCAUGUGGUUCCUCCUUUUCCUUUUCCUUACCUAGCUAUGGUUCUUUGAUCUUUGACUAUCUUGCGUGGUAAGGUAAAUGUUUCAGUUUGCAAGUCAAAAAUCAUUUGACGGGUCCCUGGCAUUCACCUGUUACAAGUUCACAAAGAGAUGAGAUAUGGCAUAAGGUGCUGCUGCCUUGGAGCGACUUGACUAUUUCUUCCAGAUUUAGGCAAUUGACAUGCUGCUAUAGGACUGGAUUUUUUUUUUCCUUUUUGCCAGAUUAACCAAUUGUAUCGUUGCUGGUGUAAUAAUUUUGUGGCAAAGAUGAUUGAAAAUGUUAAUUGGACCGCUAGUUUUGCCUUUUUCGCUAGCUUAAUAUAUGCGAGUGUGGAGUGCUAUAGAUCGAA